AACAGACGAGGAGCUUGCUCCUCCGACGUUAGCGGCGGACGGGUGAGUAACACGUGGAUAACCUACCUAUAAGACUGGGAUAACCUCGGGAAACCGGAGCUAAUACCGGAUAAUAUAUUGAACCGCAUGGUUCAAUAGUGAAAGACGGUUUUGCUGUCACUUAUAGAUGGAUCCGCGCCGCAUUAGCUAGUUGGUAAGGUAACGGCUUACCAAGGCAACGAUGCGUAGCCGACCUGAGAGGGUGAUCGGCCACACUGGAACUGAGACACGGUCCAGACUCCUACGGGAGGCAGCAGUAGGGAAUCUUCCGCAAUGGGCGAAAGCCUGACGGAGCAACGCCGCGUGAGUGAUGAAGGUCUUCGGAUCGUAAAACUCUGUUAUUAGGGAAGAACAAAUGUGUAAGUAACUAUGCACGUCUUGACGGUACCUAAUCAGAAAGCCACGGCUAACUACGUGCCAGCGGCCGCGGUAAUACGUAGGUGGCAAGCGUUAUCCGGAAUUAUUGGGCGUAAAGCGCGCGUAGGCGGUUUUUUAAGUCUGAUGUGAAAGCCCACGGCUCAACCGUGGAGGGUCAUUGGAAACUGGAAAACUUGAGUGCAGAAGAGGAAAGUGGAAUUCCAUGUGUAGCGGUGAAAUGCGCAGAGAUAUGGAGGAACACCAGUGGCGAAGGCGACUUUCUGGUCUGU
rnacentral:rRNA from 1 species